CCUACGGGUGGCUGCAGUAAGGAAUAUUGCGCAAUGGACGAAAGUCUGACGCAGCAACGCCGCGUGCAGGAUGACGGCCCUUUGGGUUGUAAACUGCUGUAGCAGGGGAAUAAGUUCUCCCUCGGGGAGAGUGAAGGUACCCUGAAAGUAAGCGCCGGCUAACUACGUGCCAGCAGCCGCGGUAAUACGUAGGGCGCAAGCGUUGUCCGGAUUCACUGGGUGUAAAGGGUGCGCAGGCGGGAAAGUAAGUUAGAGGUGAAAUCUCACAGCUUAAC
rnacentral:rRNA from 1 species